rnacentral:misc_RNA from 1 species
AAGAAACUUUAUCUGUAUUUUACCUGUACAUGUAUUUGUUGUCUGCUGUUGCAGAAUCAUUGUUAGAUCUCAAGACUGUGUUGACAUAUGUGUUGACAUACCAGUACAUUUUUAUACCCCUGCUCAGAAGGAGACUAGGGUAUACCGUUUUACCCUUGUGUGUCUGUCUGCCCAUCCUUCUGUCUGUCGUUCUGUCUGUCUAUAACAAAAAUUUCUUUCAUGUUUUUUUCAGCAACUAUUGAUGGCAGAUGGUUGAAAUUUUAUCACACUAUUUAUUUAGACAUGCCAUAUUGUAAGAUAUUUUUUUGUACCAAUUGGACAUCAGCUUCCUGUUUAAAGGGGCAUGGUCACGAAUUUGGUCAAAAAUUGUUUUUCCGAUUUUAAUGUUUAGAAUGCUUUAGUAAGGUAUUUUAAUGGGCAACCAAAAUUUAAGUAUCAUUCGUCGAGUUACAAGCAAGUUACAGAGCUUGAAAUUCUUUGCAAUGUAAACAGACCUUUUGUUUACAUUUUGAAGGUUGAAGUGAAAAUUAUAGUUUAGACCUAAAAAUGAAUGUGAUGAACAUUAAGAACUGUUUAUCUAUGCUUAGAAUGAAUAAGAAGAUAGACAAAUCAGCUUUUAAAAGAUUUUUAACUGGCACAUUGAAGACAUGUAAACAAAAACAGGGCACAAGCCUUGUUUACCUGAUAAAGAAUGUGAGCUCUGUAUCUUGCUUAUAACUCUAUGACUGACUCUUUAAUUCCAUUUGAUCAUUAGAAAUGCAUUCCUUAAAUCAUUCUUAAUAAUAAAAACAGAAAAAUAGAAUUUGACCAAAAUCAUGACGACUUUGCUUAUUUUAAACCUUAAAAAAGUUUUCAAAUUUUUAUCAAAGAUUUCUCAGCAACAAAACAAUUUAUUGCAGAUGCUGGAAAUUUUAACACACUACCGGUAUUUGUUUAGGCAUGGCAUACAUUGGGAUCCAUUUUUGUACCAAUCGAACCUCAGCUUUCUGUUACAAAAUGUAUGUUGACUUUGCUUAUUUUGCAUAUUCACAUCAGAUCGGGGGUAUUACUAGUGAGCAUUGGCUCACAGAUACCUUGUUAUAGAAUAUAUUACAUAUUAGCUGUGUAUUACUAUAGAAAGGGAAGUAACUGACUGUAAUGCCUUAUACCUUUAUACCUUGCUGUAUUCCCACAUCAUGUGAUAAAACGGUAACCAGUAUUGUCAUCUUUACAGUGUUGUUGUUAAUUGAUAUUUUAAGAUUGUUGUGAUGAAAAACUGUUCUAACAGAAUAAAAUUUUUAUUAUCCC